UACGUAGGCAGCGAGCGUUGUUCGGAGUUACUGGGCGUAAAGGGUGUGUAGGCGGUCCUGUAAGUCUGGUGUGAAAUCUCCCGGCUCAACUGGGAGGGUGCGCCGGAAACUGCAGGGCUAGAGUGCGGGAUGGGAGAGUAGAAUUCCUGGUGUAGCGGUGAAAUGCGUAGAUAUCGGGAGGAACACCUGUGGCGAAAGCGGCGCACUGGACCACAUCUGACGCUGAGG
rnacentral:rRNA from 1 species